GUGAUACUGUAUUUUGAAGACAACUCCAAAACAAGUUAAUCAAUUUCAAGCAAUGCCAAAUUAAUUUCAAGAAAAAUUUCAACCCCAGGGCCGUAGCUAGACCGAUAACUGGGGGGUGUAUAUUCAUAUAUUUGUGUUCUGCCCGACGGAUUUCUUUUGAAAGUGAUUGUUUUGACAGUAUAUGAACAUGAAUAUAUGACAUACACUCCACAAUUAUCGUGUCUACUUACGGCCCUGUUCAACACAACAUAUCACCCAAAAUCCCAAAUUAUUUUCAAUUUAUCUUGCCUAGUGGGGCAGCAUAUUGUCAUGCAUACUCAUAUGAUCUUCGAGUUCGGUGGCAAUUUUAAACUCGGCAUCGCAGACACAACAGAUAUAACCAAUGCCAGUUGCUUCUCUUGCUUCUAAUUCCUUACAAACAUCACAUUGGUGGGAUGAAUGAUGGUCUUUGGCCUUGUGCUGAUAUAAACUUUCAAUAUCAGGGAACUGUUUGUCGCAUUUGUUGCAGACAGAAUGAUCGCCAAUCAGUAUCUCACUAGCAUGUCCUUGUCGUUGUGAUUGACUAAUUUCCCUGCCACAACUGUUGCAGAAUAAUAAGCCAUCUCUCGAAUGUACUCUCCAGUGACGUUUGAGACUCUUACGUAGUGUGAAUGUUUUCUUACAUUUAGCACACUCAAGACUCGGCUUUCUCUUGUGUGCUGAUAUUUUAUGUCGUGUUAAUUUGUGAGAUUCUGAAAAUCUCUUAUUGCAAACAUAACAUUCAUAAGGUUUGUCUCCAGCGUGUGUUCUUUUAUGCUUGGUUAAGUUGGCCGAGAAUGAAAAUCUCUUCUUACAAACAUCACAUUCAAAAGGUUUGUCUCCAGUGUGUGUUCUUUUAUGCUUGGUUAAGUUGGUCGAGCAUGAAAAUCUCUUCUCACAAACAUCACAUUCAUAAGGUUUGUCUCCAGUGUGUGUUCUUUUAUGGGUAGCUAAGUCACCUGACUGCAAAAAUCUUUUGUUGCAAACAUCACAUUCAUAAGGUUUCUCUCCAGUGUGUGUUCUUUUAUGCACAGUUAAGGCAUGUGACCGUGAAAAUCUUUUGUUGCAAACAUCACAUUCAUAAGGUUUGUCUCCAGUGUGUGUUCUUUUAUGGGUAGCUAAGGUGCUUGAGCGUGAAAAUCUUUUGUCGCAAACAUCACAUUCAUAAGGUUUGUCUCCAGUGUGUGUUCUCUUAUGAACCACUAAGUUGCUUGACUGCAAAAAUCUCUUGUUGCAAACAUCACAUUCAUACGGUUUGUCUCCAGUGUGUGUUCUUUUAUGGGUAGCUAAGGUGCCAGACUGCAAAAAUCUUUUGUUGCAAACAUCACAUUCAUAAGGUUUGUCUCCAGUGUGUGUUCUUUUAUGGGUAGCUAAGGUGCUUGAGCGUGAAAAUCUUUUGUCGCAAACAUCACAUUCAUAAGGUUUGUCUCCAGUGUGUGUUCUCUUAUGAACCACUAAGUUGCUUGACUGCAAAAAUCUCUUGUUGCAAACAUCACAUUCAUACGGUUUGUCUCCAGUGUGUGUUCUUUUAUGGGUAGCUAAGGUGCCAGACUGCAAAAAUCUUUUGUUGCAAACAUCACAUUCAUAAGGUUUGUCUCCAGUGUGUGUUCUUUUAUGGGUAGCUAAGGUGCUUGAGCGUGAAAAUCUUUUGUCGCAAACAUCACAUUCAUAAGGUUUGUCUCCAGUGUGUGUUCUCUUAUGAACCACUAAGUUGCUUGACUGCAAAAAUCUCUUGUUGCAAACAUCACAUUCAUACGGUUUGUCUCCAGUGUGUGUUCUUUUAUGGGUAGCUAAGGUGCCAGACUGCAAAAAUC
rnacentral:lncRNA from 1 species